rnacentral:rRNA from 1 species
CAGCCGUAAACUAUGCGCGUUAGGUGUACUGGUGACCACGAGUCACCGGGGUGCCGAAGGGAAACCGUGAAACGUGCCGCCUGGGAAGUACGGUCGCAAGGCUGAAACUUAAAGGGAAUUGGCGGGGGAGCACCACAACGGGUGGAGCCUGCGGUUUAAUUGGACUCAACGCCGGAAAUCUCACCGGAUAGGACAGACAUAUGAUAGUCGGGCUGAAGACUCUACUUGAUGAUCUGAGAGGAGGUGCAUGGCGUCAGUGACU